rnacentral:rRNA from 1 species
CAACUUUCAACAACGGAUCUCUUGGCUCUCGCAUCGAUGAAGAACGCAGCGAAAUGCGAUAAGUAAUGUGAAUUGCAGAAUUCAGUGAAUCAUCGAAUCUUUGAACGCACCUUGCGCUCCUUGGUAUUCCAUGGAGCAUGCCUGUUUGAGUGUCACG